GUUAUAAAUCAUGAAUCCUGCCUUUACAAGCGAGGUGGUCUCUCUCUGGGUUUUAGAGAGAGAAAACUCUCUCAAUUUUUCUUCAUUUUCUUGCUUCAAUGGCGUCUCUUUCGCUAGUCACAUAGCUUCGCGUGCCCUUGUUGGGCAGGGAAAACUCCUCUCCUUGCCUAGCUAUAGGUCGGCUCUCCCCAUUUCAAGUGGUUGUACAUAUUUACUUUUGGGUUUCUUUAAUAGUUUGGGGUUUAGAGAGAGAGAGCUUUUUGUUUGAUCUACCAUGUUCUGAGUUUAUUCUCCAAUUUGUGGUUGAUUUGGUGCCAAUUUGGUGAGUUUGUCUCUAGAUCUACCAUAUUGUAGGCGUUUGUUUCUAGCCUACAUGGUUGCUUGCAGGAUUCGUUCUUCAUCCGCGUCAUGCUUCAUGCAUCUCUAGCUCUAGGAGAGUUCAUUUUAUGGGGUAUGAUAACUCGAGGGUCUCUUGCCGGCUUACGCCAUCAAUGGCCGACCUUUGGCUUCACAUGCCGUUUGAGCUCUGCCUCACCACUCUAUGCGAGCUGUUAAUUUAUCUUGCAACAACUUCACCUUGCAUGGUCUCAGAUCUUUAUGGUUUUUAGCUGACCUUGCUUUGGAAGUUCUCUAGGUGCUCUAGGUGUUCUCUGAGUUGAGUUUCUUGGCUUGGUUUGGAAAGCUCUAGGUUCACUGGCGACUAUCUGGGUUAAUCCUUGGCCCCUACGUCGACGGCGUAGUGGUUCCUGGCUUGUUCUUUUGCCGAGUCGAGUCCUAAACCAGCGUAGCUAGGGUUGUUGUAUGGGCUUUGGCCUUUUUUUCUAUAGAUUUGUAUUUAGGGGCUUUUUAAGGUUGCGUAUUGUUGUAAACCAUGGACUUUGUAAUUGGGCUUUUAUUGAAUGAAGAAUAUCUUUAAAAAAAAAAGUUAUAAAU
rnacentral:misc_RNA from 1 species